rnacentral:rRNA from 1 species
UACGAAGGGGGCUAGCGUUGUUCGGAAUCACUGGGCGUAAAGCGUACGUAGGCGGAUUGUUAAGUCAGGGGUGAAAGCCCGAGGCUCAACCUCGGAAACUGCCUUUGAUACUGGCAAUCUUGAGUCCGGGAGAGGUGAGUGGAACUCCUAGUGUAGAGGUGAAAUUCGUAGAUAUUAGGAAGAACACCAGUGGCGAAGGCGGCUCACUGGCCCGGAACUGACGCUGAUGUACGAAAGCGUGGGAGCAAACAGG